GGGGCCAUAGCUCAGCUGGAAGAGCGCCUGCUUUGCAAGCAGGAGGUCGCCGGUUCGAGCCCGGCUGGCUCCA
rnacentral:tRNA from 2 species